GGGUUGUGAGGUUAAGCGACUAAGCGUACACGGUGGAUGCCCUGGCAGUCAGAGGCGAUGAAGGGCGUGCUAAUCUGCGAUAAGCGCCGGUAAGGUGAUAUGAACCGUUAUAACCGGCGAUACCCGAAUGGGGAAACCCAGUGUGACUCGUCACACUAUCAUUAACUGAAUCCAUAGGUUAAUGAGGCGAACCGGGGGAACUGAAACAUCUAAGUACCCCGAGGAAAAGAAAUCAACCGAGAUUCCCCCAGUAGCGGCGAGCGAACGGGGAGGAGCCCAGAGCCUGAAUCAGCAUGUGUGUUAGUGGAAGCGUCUGGAAAGGCGCGCGAUACAGGGUGACAGCCCCGUACACAAAAGCGCAUGUGCUGUGAGCUCGAUGAGUAGGGCGGGACACGUGGUAUCCUGUCUGAAUAUGGGGGGACCAUCCUCCAAGGCUAAAUACUCCUGACUGACCGAUAGUGAACCAGUACCGUGAGGGAAAGGCGAAAAGAACCCCGGCGAGGGGAGUGAAAAAGAACCUGAAACCGUGUACGUACAAGCAGUGGGAGCACCCUUUGGGUGUGACUGCGUACCUUUUGUAUAAUGGGUCAGCGACUUAUAUUCUGUAGCAAGGUUAACCGAAUAGGGGAGCCGGAGGGAAACCGAGUCUUAACCGGGCGUUAAGUUGCAGGGUAUAGACCCGAAACCCGGUGAUCUAGCCAUGGGCAGGUUGAAGGUUGGGUAACACUAACUGGAGGACCGAACCGACUAAUGUUGAAAAAUUAGCGGAUGACCUGUGGCUGGGGGUGAAAGGCCAAUCAAACCGGGAGAUAGCUGGUUCUCCCCGAAAGCUAUUUAGGUAGCGCCUCGUGAAUUCAUCUCCGGGGGUAGAGCACUGUUUCGGCUAGGGGGCCAUCCCGGCUUACCAACCCGAUGCAAACUGCGAAUACCGGAGAAUGUUAUCACGGGAGACACACGGCGGGUGCUAACGUCCGUCGUGAAGAGGGAAACAACCCAGACCGCCAGCUAAGGUCCCAAAGUCAUGGUUAAGUGGGAAACGAUGUGGGAAGGCCCAGACAGCCAGGAUGUUGGCUUAGAAGCAGCCAUCAUUUAAAGAAAGCGUAAUAGCUCACUGGUCGAGUCGGCCUGCGCGGAAGAUGUAACGGGGCUAAACCAUGCACCGAAGCUGCGGCAGCGACACUGUGUGUUGUUGGGUAGGGGAGCGUUCUGUAAGCCUGUGAAGGUGUGUCGUGAGGCAUGCUGGAGGUAUCAGAAGUGCGAAUGCUGACAUAAGUAACGAUAAAGCGGGUGAAAAGCCCGCUCGCCGGAAGACCAAGGGUUCCUGUCCAACGUUAAUCGGGGCAGGGUGAGUCGACCCCUAAGGCGAGGCCGAAAGGCGUAGUCGAUGGGAAACGGGUUAAUAUUCCCGUACUUGGUGUUACUGCGAAGGGGGGACGGAGAAGGCUAUGUUGGCCGGGCGACGGUUGUCCCGGUUUAAGCGUGUAGGUGUGUGUUCCAGGUAAAUCCGGUUCACUUUAACACUGAGGCGUGACGACGAGGCACUACGGUGCUGAAGCAACAAAUGCCCUGCUUCCAGGAAAAGCCUCUAAGCAUCAGGUAACAUCAAAUCGUACCCCAAACCGACACAGGUGGUCAGGUAGAGAAUACCAAGGCGCUUGAGAGAACUCGGGUGAAGGAACUAGGCAAAAUGGUGCCGUAACUUCGGGAGAAGGCACGCUGACACGUAGGUGAAGUGAUUUACUCAUGGAGCUGAAGUCAGUCGAAGAUACCAGCUGGCUGCAACUGUUUAUUAAAAACACAGCACUGUGCAAACACGAAAGUGGACGUAUACGGUGUGACGCCUGCCCGGUGCCGGAAGGUUAAUUGAUGGGGUCAGCGCAAGCGAAGCUCCUGAUCGAAGCCCCGGUAAACGGCGGCCGUAACUAUAACGGUCCUAAGGUAGCGAAAUUCCUUGUCGGGUAAGUUCCGACCUGCACGAAUGGCGUAAUGAUGGCCAGGCUGUCUCCACCCGAGACUCAGUGAAAUUGAACUCGCUGUGAAGAUGCAGUGUACCCGCGGCAAGACGGAAAGACCCCGUGAACCUUUACUAUAGCUUGACACUGAACAUUGAGCCUUGAUGUGUAGGAUAGGUGGGAGGCUUUGAAGUGUGGACGCCAGUCUGCAUGGAGCCGACCUUGAAAUACCACCCUUUAAUGUUUGAUGUUCUAACGUGGACCCGUUACCCGGGUUGCGGACAGUGUCUGGUGGGUAGUUUGACUGGGGCGGUCUCCUCCUAAAGAGUAACGGAGGAGCACGAAGGUUGGCUAAUCCUGGUCGGACAUCAGGAGGUUAGUGCAAUGGCAUAAGCCAGCUUGACUGCGAGCGUGACGGCGCGAGCAGGUGCGAAAGCAGGUCAUAGUGAUCCGGUGGUUCUGAAUGGAAGGGCCAUCGCUCAACGGAUAAAAGGUACUCCGGGGAUAACAGGCUGAUACCGCCCAAGAGUUCAUAUCGACGGCGGUGUUUGGCACCUCGAUGUCGGCUCAUCACAUCCUGGGGCUGAAGUAGGUCCCAAGGGUAUGGCUGUUCGCCAUUUAAAGUGGUACGCGAGCUGGGUUUAGAACGUCGUGAGACAGUUCGGUCCCUAUCUGCCGUGGGCGCUGGAGAACUGAGGGGGGCUGCUCCUAGUACGAGAGGACCGGAGUGGACGCAUCACUGGUGUUCGGGUUGUCAUGCCAAUGGCACUGCCCGGUAGCUAAAUGCGGAAGAGAUAAGUGCUGAAAGCAUCUAAGCACGAAACUUGCCCCGAG
rnacentral:rRNA from 2 species